GGAUAUGAGGGUGAUCUGAUAUCGGUUACCCUAUUGAUUGCCAGGGUUGAUCCGGCUGGCUAGGCAGAUAUCCCCUUCCUCCUUCACCACUCCAUGUGCAUUCCUUCUAAAGCUGCAUGCUCAGUUGAAGAGGACAACUGUCCCUGCAUAGAAAAAACAGACCAGUCUUCUGUUGAGGAUGUACCAGUUGCUGUGCUUCCCUGCUAGACAAGCUCUCAAGAACAUGGGUGUAAAGAGAUUGGCCAAAUCAUAGGGAAUAUAAGCAUUCAAUGAGUAAUUGGAAAUGAUAGCCAGGCUGGUGGUAU
ensembl:misc_RNA 7SK 7SK RNA